UACGAAGGGUGCAAGCGUUACUCGGAAUUACUGGGCGUAAAGCGUGCGUAGGUGGUGAGUUAAGUCUGUCGUGAAAGCCCCGGGCUCAACCUGGGAAUGGCGAUGAAGACUGCAAGGCUAGAAUCUGGCAGAGGGGGGUAGAAUUCCACGUGUAGCAGUGAAAUGCGUAGAGAUGUGGAGGAACACCGAUGGCGAAGGCAGCCCCUGGGUCAAGAUUGACGCUCAUGCACGAAAGGCGUGGGGAGCAAACAGG
rnacentral:rRNA from 1 species